rnacentral:tRNA from 1 species
GUCCGUGUCGUAUAGCAGCAGUAUGCCGGUCUCUCCAACCGGCGGCGCGGGUGCGAUUCCCGCCACGGAUACCA